UGGGGCACAUGGUUGCUUACUGAAAAAAAGAGAAAAGCUGGUGGCGCUGGUGGAGCGCGUAGUUCGCGUGCUGUCGGCGGUUGAAGUAAGGCUAGUUUAGACUUCAAUUUAAAGGUCCGCUUGCGCGUAGUUGCUCAUUUUAUUUCUUAUAACUCUGGAAAUAAAUAGAAUUUCGAAGCCAAAAUUCGCUGAUAGAUGCAGAAGGGCCUCGGGAACGCGAAAAUGAUGGGAGAGAAAAUGCGAUUUUUGGGCCGAUUUUCGACUUUUAAGUGCCGCGUCCCCCCUUAAACAGAAUAGACUUUCCUUGCUCCUAUGAUAAUCAACAGAAUGACUGGUGUGGAGGCUGCAGAUGAUGCCACAUUAUGUGAUAACACAAAGAAUAGGUGCAUGAGUUUAAAGAUUGGGAUGCUGCCUCUCUUUCAUGAUCAUGUUCUUUUUAACUUCUUGAGCCUCUGCUUAUGGCGAGACUUGACCUAAUAGCCGCCUCAGAGGUAUUAUCUGUCUGGUAUAGCUCGUUUGAGUGAUUUUCUAAUAGGUGCUCUAUCUGAAGUGCUCUUUAUGUGCGUAAGCUACUGGCUCUGGGCAUUUUAUGAAUUUUGCAUCAAGUUAUGUGUUUUGCUUCCUACAUCGAACGUUGUAAAAGAUAUGCAUGGCUAGAAUUUAAUGGGGCGUGUGUAAAGGGGCCUUUGUGAAGUUUCGUUAUGCAGACAGAUAGUAUUUCUGUAACUUGACGUGUUGCUGAAGCCACUCACUGUGUUUCCGGUGCUGCAAGGUCCUGCAAGCCGGAGGUGAGCUGUGACACGCCGACUUGGUAUACAUCAGAGCAAGAGGCAUCUGCUGCAUAUUGACAGGAUGGGUGCUACCAUCUGUUGCCCAAGUGGAAGAUUCAUCACCACCAUGGAAGCUGCUGGAAGAGUUCCAAAGUUCAAGCAGAGUCUCUUAGCAGUGUUUUUAUCAUCAAAUUAUUCUCUGUUGUGAAUAAAGAA